CGCAAGCCUGACGGAGCAAGACCGCGUGCGGGAUGACGGCCUAAUGGUUGUAAACCGCUUUUCUCUGGGAAGAUAAUGACGGUACCAGAGGAAUCAGCCUCGGCUAACUCCGUGCCAGCAGCCGCGGUAAUACGGAGGAGGCAAGCGUUAUCCGGAAUUAUUGGGCGUAAAGCGUCCGUAGGUGGUUAUUCAAGUCUGCUGUCAAAGCGUGGGGCUUAACUCCAUAGAGGCAGUGGAAACUGGAUGACUAGAGUGCGGUAGGGGUCGAGCGGAAUUCCCAGUGUAGCGGUGAAAUGCGUAGAUAUUGGGAAGAACACCAGUGGCGAAAGCGCUCGACUGGGCCUGCACUGACACUGAGGGACGAAAGCUACGGGAGC
rnacentral:rRNA from 1 species